CAUGUGAAUGCAGCCAGGAGUGUGAACAGAAUCUUCCUGUUCUGAAGUAGAAUUACUCACCUGGGUCCAUAGGGGUGACAUGGCACCAGGAGGGAAAACAUAAGAUCCUGGCUCCUAAUGAGAAACAGCUGCCUGUGGAAUAAAAUUAGUGUGAGUUGUGUAAUCCCAGCUGGCCAGUUGCAGGAACAGGGAGGUGGCAGGAGCUGAGGGAACAGGCCCUGCAGCCCAUCCUCACCCUCUGGGUUGGAAUUUCUGAAUCUCUUCUUUGCCUUGAGUCAGAAUAGGAAACCGAACCCUGACCGCGCGUUUCUUUUUAUAGAAUUGAACUUUCUUGCCAGCUUCCUCUGGAGCGCAAGAUCGUCCCUCUUCGUCUCUAAACAAUACGCCAAUCAUCAGAUGCAAAAGAAGAUGGAGUGGAUGCCACUCUCCCUGCCCGCCUGUAACAUAUUAGUGACUGUCUUCAGUAGACGGGGAUAACUGCCUCUGAGCUCCUUUGACCAUCUAGUAGACCUCAUCGCUGGAUUACCUGGUUUCCAUUCUUUUAUUCUUCCUUGGAAGGGCUUGUCAUGCAAUGUGUCAGCCUGGAGGGAAAGGAAGACAGACGCCUUGCUAGCCAAGAGGAUCCCAGUGACUUUGCCAGCCACAAGCCCCCAGCAGCCAUGCUGAUAACUCAUCUCUGGGGGAGCAUCCAGUACCCCCAUAGCAGCCUCAGCAGGCACCCCAGAUGGUAGCUUUGUCAAGCCCCACUGUGUGACAAGAGCAUAAUCUCUCCAAAGAGAAUGUAUGUAUGUUCCUGCCUGAAAGGGAGGGCGGAGAAAUGGUCCAAACCUCUGGGACUGCACAUUCUGGCCCCAGAUAACACAGCGAGGGUCUUGGCAAGGCCUCUCCGAUUCUAAGAAAACCACAGAAGGAAACUGUUGUCCCUAGGAGAUUAGGUGAGACCAGAGACACUGAGACCAUGAGGGCCAAGAAGUUCUGGAGAAGGUGGGGUCUGAGCAAAGAGCCCAAGGCAAACAUGAACUUUAAAAAAAUUAGGUUCUGCCCACCUGGUGACACAAGCCUGUAAUCCCAAUGGAGAGGCUUGAGAAUUAAGAGCUAUAUAGUGAGACCCUGUCUCAAAAAUAGUAAAUACUUAUUUUUAUUAAGAGUAAUAGAAAAUUUUAUUUUAAAACUGGAUUCGUUCCUUUUUCUCCCCCAUGCUAGUUCUUAACCAAUGCCCACUCAAUGUGUUCCCAGAGAGACAAGUUGCUCAUUUGAGUGUCAUGAGAAACCCAGCAGUGUGAAUGCUCCCAAGGAUGGAAUUUAUUUGGAAACAAAUUACUUGAUUACUCAGGAAAAGGUGCGACAGCAACGGAAGUCCUGUCAGGAAGCAGGGGAGGCACA